UGCGUUUUUCUCUGUCACUUUUUUUUUACGAUAUUUCAUGCAUAGAUAGAAAGGGAAGGCACAGUCCAUGUCUAUACGUCUAUGUGAGAAUAUAAAUAAUGGUUUUGAGGUUAAGUUGGUUUAAUUUUAGUUGGGACAGUGAAAAUACCAUUUUUCGAGAUAUAAAUUAAACGAAUUAACGAUUGGAUUUAGUUAUUUAAGCGCUGAACAGAAAAUAUAUUAAAAUUAGACUGAUAUAAUACGAAUAUUGUCAAUUUUUAUAAGAACUUUAAAAAAUCAUAUCUCCUAAAUUACAAAAGUUUCCCGAAGUUGAGACAUGUACCAAUCGAUUUUUCAUACAAUACUUUAUCUAAGAAAAAAUCGAUGUUAAAAUUAGAGCGUCUACUGGGACUGUACGGGCGUGAGAGGUGAGAGCAUUGCAUCGACGGCAAAAUAGAAAAUACGCUCGCCUGGCAAUCCGUUGACGGAUUCCGUUGCUGCUCGAUGCGUUUCUACUGGACGUAGUUACAAAUGUUAGCAGGCAAGCAGGUGGAUUUAUCCGUUGCGAUGCAAUCCGAGAUCCGACUCGGCUCUCUUAAUGGACACUCAACAUCGUGUUAUAAAUUAACUUAAUAGUUUAAAUUAAUCUUAGCAUAUUAUCCGACGAUCGAACUUAUUUCAUAGCUUUUUCAUUGUUCUGUAUGAAUGGAAUUAAAUAAAUACAUUUUUUAAUUUGA